AUUGAACGCUGGCGGCAUGCCUUACACAUGCAAGUCGAACGGCAGCAUGGAGAGCUUGCUCUCUGAUGGCGAGUGGCGAACGGGUGAGUAAUGCAUCGGAACGUACCGUGUAAUGGGGGAUAACGUAGCGAAAGUUACGCUAAUACCGCAUACGACCUGAGGGUGAAAGCAGGGGAUCGCAAGACCUUGCGUUAUACGAGCGGCCGAUGUCAGAUUAGCUAGUUGGUGAGGUAAAGGCUCACCAAGGCGACGAUCUGUAGCGGGUCUGAGAGGAUGAGCCGCCACACUGGGACCGAGACACGGCCCAGACUCCUACGGGAGGCAGCAGUGGGGAAUUUUGGACAAUGGGGGCAACCCUGAUCCAGCCAUGCCGCGUGAGUGAAGAAGGCCUUCGGGUUGUAAGGCUCUUUCGGCCGGGAAGAAAUCGCACAGGCUAAUACUCUGUGUGGAUGACGGUACCGGCAUAAGAAGCACCGGCUAACUACGUGCCAGCAGCCGCAGUAA
rnacentral:rRNA from 1 species